rnacentral:tRNA from 1 species
GCCGAAGUGGCGGAACGGCAGACGCGGCGGUCUCAAAAACCGUUGGGGGUAAACCCCGUGCCGGUUCGAAUCCGGCCUUCGGCACCA